rnacentral:rRNA from 14 species
AGGUUCUAACUCUGUCCCGUGAUCCGGGACGAGGACCGUGUCUGGUGGGUAGUUUGACUGGGGCGGUCUCCUCCCAAAGCGUAACGGAGGAGCACGAAGGUUGGCUAAUCCUGGUCGGACAUCAGGAGGUUAGUGCAAUGGCAUAAGCCAGCUUAACUGCGAGACAGACACGUCGAGCAGGUACGAAAGUAGGUCAUAGUGAUCCGGUGGUUCUGUAUGGAAGGGCCAUCGCUCAACGGAUAAAAGGUACUCCGGGGAUAACAGGCUGAUACCGCCCAAGAGUUCAUAUCGACGGCGGUGUUUGGCACCUCGAUGUCGGCUCAUCACAUCCUGGGGCUGAAGUCGGUCCCAAGGGUAUGGCUGUUCGCCAUUUAAAGUGGUACGCGAGCUGGGUUUAGAACGUCGUGAGACAGUUCGGUCCCUAUCUGGUGUGGGCGUUGGAUGAUUGAUGGGAGCUGCUCCUAGUACGAGAGGGCCGGAGUGGACGAACCGCUGGUGUUCGGGUUGUUUUGCCAAAGGCAUUGCCCGGUAGCUACGUUCGGAAUCGAUAACCGCUGAAAGCAUCUAAGCGGGAAGC